AUGGCGGCCCAGGGAAGAGGCAGUGCAGCCGUGGUCGUGGGCGUGCUGCUCGUCUGCGUGCUGCUGAGCGCCGCGGCGGUGGCGGAGGCGGCAGUGUUCAACGUCGGCGACCGCGGCGGCUGGUCCUUCAACACCAACUCCUGGCCCACCGGCAAGCGCUUCAAGGCCGGCGACGUCCUAGUGUUCAAGUACGACGCGACGGCGCACGACGUGGUGGCCGUGAGCGCGGCGGGGUACAACCGUACAAGGCCUGCGCCAAGCCGGCCAAGGGCGCCAAGGUCUACAAGUCCGGCGCCGACCGCGUCACUCUCAACCGCGGCACAAACUAUUUCAUAUGCAGCAUUCCCGGACACUGCCAGUCCGGCAUGA
rnacentral:rRNA from 1 species